rnacentral:rRNA from 1 species
UUUAAUUGAAGAGUUUGAUCAUGGCUCAGAUUGAACGCUGGCGGCAGGCCUAACACAUGCAAGUCGAGCGGCAGCACAGAGAAACUUGUUUCUCGGGUGGCGAGCGGCGGACGGGUGAGUAAUGCCUGGGAAAUUGCCCUGAUGUGGGGGAUAACCAUUGGAAACGAUGGCUAAUACCGCAUGAUAGCUUCGGCUCAAAGAGGGGGACCUUCGGGCCUCGUCGCGUCAGGAUAUGCCCAGGUGGGAUUAGCUAGUUGGUGAGGUAAGGGCUCACCAAGGCGACGAUCCCUAGCUGGUCUGAGAGGAUGAUCAGCCACACUGGAACUGAGACACGGUCCAGACUCCUACGGGAGGCAGCAGUGGGGAAUAUUGCACAAUGGGCGCAAGCCUGA